AUUGAACGCUGGCGGUAUGCUUAACACAUGCAAGUCGAACGAUGAGAAAGAGCUUGCUCUUUCGAUUAGUGGCGGACGGGUGCGUAACGCGUAGGAAUCUACCUAUUAGUGGGGGACAACUUAGGGAAACUUAAGCUAAUACCGCAUACGCCCUACGGGGGAAAGAAGGGGAUCGCAAGACCUUUUGCUAAUAGAUGAGCCUGCGUAGGAUUAGCUAGUUGGUGGGGUAAAAGCUCACCAAGGCGACGAUCCUUAACUGGUUUGAGAGAAUGAUCAGUCACACUGGAACUGAGACACGGUCCAGACUCCUACGGGAGGCAGCAGUGGGGAAUAUUGGACAAUGGGCGAAAGCCUGAUCCAGCAAUACCGCGUGUGUGAAGAAGGCCUUAGGGUUGUAAAGCACUUUCAAUAGGGAGGAAAACCUGCCGGUCAAUACCCGGUAGCUUGACAUUACCUAUAGAAGAAGCACCGGCUAACUCCGUGCCAGCAGCCGCGGUAAUAC
rnacentral:rRNA from 1 species